CUCUCAGAAAUAAAGGUACAGUGAGGGUACAAUUAAGUACUUUAAGGUACAAAUUUCACAAAUGUGCCAGCAAAGGAACAAACAUGUAUCCAGCUGAGUACCAAAAAGUACCUUUCCAAAGAAAAGGGGUACACAAUGAAAUAUGCAUGGUGAAAGGUACAUAUAUGUACCCUUUGAAAAGGUACAUUGUCAUAUAAAGUAAUAGUUAAGGUACAACAUUCACAAAUGUACCAUUAAAGGUCCUAUCGUGUUCCCAUGGGGUACUUAGAAGUACCUUUUGGGUACACAUCCUGUAGGGUACAAAAAAGUACCUUAUUCAAGUCAAAGGGUACACUUCCUGUGGGGUACUAAGAAGUACUUUUCAAGUUACAGGGUACACAAUCCUCUGGGGUAGCAGCUACUUAUGCGUGCCUUUUCUAAGACUGAUAGAGCCUUUGUCAUAAUUUGUAAAUGUGGUAUGCCUUGGACAGAUUGACACAAUAAAUGUGUUAUCUCCUGGGCGGGCAGUUUGUGUUUAUGAAAAUAAAAACAAUACAUAUAUUUCAUAUGGUAGCACAUAAAAAGCUCUAUAAAUAAUGAAUAAUCAUUUAUAAAAAUAAAUAUACAUUAUAUAUAUUUCAAUUUAUUACACGAAACGGCUGUUUUUUGUCGGCCAAUCACGUCACGCCUCUCGUCUUUUCAAACUGCGGCGGAUCGCGCUCUUUUCACUCCGGCCUGGUUUGAGGGGAAUCGCGAUGCUUUGGACCGUUCCGUAAGUUACGGUAGAUAAUACUUGUUAAAAUGCGUAGUGCUGAAAAAAACGAUCAUAGAAAUAGUUAGCUAACAAAUAUGUUGUUAAUUAAGUUAGUUGGAGAGUGGCGACGUGCGUCGAGCAGUGUAGCGUUAGCGAAGUGUUAGCCAGGCAGAGCGCACGACAAGCUGUCCAGCACACCAUAUCAUUAUAAACAACUAAAAGAGUGCAUUAUAAGUGAAGGAUUUAACGUGGAGCGUUUGCUUUGCUGCAUCAGGUACGUUCACAGUGCUCCUGUGAUGUGUUUUGCGGUUGACCGAGUGAAAUGUUGUCUGUUCUCAUCGCAUUACUUUCUACGGUAUGAAUUUUCUUCAAGGACGUUGUCAAGAAUUUGAUUUGAUGUUGACAGAGAUGAAGGUUUGACCGAUUUCACGUCAAGCACAGGAGCCCUACCACAAAUGCUGAAGAGUGCCGUCAAAUCCAGCAGUGAAGAUGAACAUCUAAGGGGACUCCCACAAUGGCUUGAGUACUAAUGCUGCUCGGAUAUGCUGUGUGUAUGGAAAGACUGAGGAGUUGAAAGCUGAUUCUACCCUGGAAAGGAGUAAUUUUCUCUUUUAGAGGGGAUGGAAGACCAAGCAGAUACUAUAUUAAAAAGUGCUACACAAUGAUGGUUGUUCUUGCAUAUCUUCUGCCACCGUUGCCUGGAAGUCGAUGCAAUGUUAAAUCUGAAAUUUCAUUCCUUCAAUUUAAUUUUGUACCGCGUGGAGCCACUAUUGCAUCCCUCUGCAGCAGUUUUGAGACCGCAUCAAAGACCAGACCACAGCCGAUCUACAUUGGAAGUUUGAAGAGCACAACAUCACAGUACAUCAUUACGAG